GUUGCCUACGGGGCGCAGCAGUGGGGGAUAUUGCACAAUGGGGGGAACCCUGAUGCAGCGACGCCGCGUGGGUGAAGGAGCGUUUCGGCGCGUAAAGCCCUAUCGGCAGGGCAGAAGGAGGACGGUACCUGACUAAGAAGCCCCGGCUAACUACGUGCCAGCAGCCGCGGCAAUACGUAGGGGGCAAGCGUUAUCCGGAUUUACUGGGUGUAAAGGGGGCGCAGACGGCAGCGCCAGCCAGGAGUGCAAGCCCCGGCCCCCACCCCCGCCCUCCCCUU
rnacentral:rRNA from 1 species